rnacentral:rRNA from 1 species
UGAAGAGUUUGAUCCUGGCUCAGAUUGAACGCUGGCGGCAUGCCUUACACAUGCAAGUCGAACGGCAGCGGGGGAAAGCUUGCUUUCCUGCCGGCGAGUGGCGAACGGGUGAGUAAUACAUCGGAACGUGCCCUGUAGUGGGGGAUAACUAGUCGAAAGAUUAGCUAAUACCGCAUACGACCUGAGGGUGAAAGUGGGGGACCGCAAGGCCUCAUGCUAUAGGAGCGGCCGAUGUCUGAUUAGCUAGUUGGUGGGGUAAAGGCCUACCAAGGCGACGAUCAGUAGCUGGUCUGAGAGGACGAUCAGCCACACUGGGACUGAGACACGGCCCAGACUCCUACGGGAGGCAGCAGUGGGGAAUUUUGGACAAUGGGCGAAAGCCUGAUCCAGCAAUGCCGCGUGUGUGAAGAAGGCCUUCGGGUUGUAAAGCACUUUUGUCCGGAAAGAAAUGGCUCUGGUUAAUACCCGGAGUCGAUGACGGUACCGGAAGAAUAAGGACCGGCUAACUACGUGCCAGCAGCCGCGGUAAUACGUAGGGUCCAAGCGUUAAUCGGAAUUACUGGGCGUAAAGCGUGCGCAGGCGGUUGUGCAAGACCGAUGUGAAAUCCCCGGGCUUAACCUGGGAAUUGCAUUGGUGACUGCACGGCUAGAGUGUGUCAGAGGGAGGUAGAAUUCCACGUGUAGCAGUGAAAUGCGUAGAGAUGUGGAGGAAUACCGAUGGCGAAGGCAGCCUCCUGGGAUAACACUGACGCUCAUGCACGAAAGCGUGGGGAGCAAACAGGAUUAGAUACCCUGGUAGUCCACGCCCUAAACGAUGUCAACUAGUUGUUGGGGAUUCAUUUCCUUAGUAACGUAGCUAACGCGUGAAGUUGACCGCCUGGGGAGUACGGUCGCAAGAUUAAAACUCAAAGGAAUUGACGGGGACCCGCACAAGCGGUGGAUGAUGUGGAUUAAUUCGAUGCAACGCGAAAAACCUUACCUACCCUUGA